rnacentral:rRNA from 1 species
CCUACGGGAGGCAGCAGUGGGGAAUAUUGCACAAUGGGCGCAAGCCUGAUGCAGCGACGCCGCGUGAGGGAUGACGGCCUUCGGGUUGUAAACCUCUUUCAGCAGGGACGAAGCGCAAGUGACGGUACCUGUAGAAGAAGGACCGGCCAACUACGUGCCAGCAGCCGCGGUAAUACGUAGGGUCCGAGCGUUGUCCGGAAUUACUGGGCGUAAAGAGCUCGUAGGUGGUUUGUCGCGUUGUUCGUGAAAACUCACAGCUCAACUGUGGGCGUGCGGGCGAUACGGGCAGACUUGAGUACUGCAGGGGAGACUGGAAUUCCUGGUGUAGCGGUGGAAUGCGCAGAUAUCAGGAGGAACACCGGUGGCGAAGGCGGGUCUCUGGGCAGUAACUGACGCUGAGGAGCGAAAGCGUGGGGAGCGAACAGGAUUAGAUACCCUAG